AAUGAAGUAUUUGUCGACGCAAGGCUCUAAAUCAAUGGCAGCGAUCCGUAACGAAUAUGAUGAACCUGAUGAGCAUGCUAUUGAUGCUUGGAGAGAUACUCAUAUAAAAAAAUCUACGAAGACUUGGGUUAGCGAAACUUGCAAAGAACUACAUGAACAAAUGACCC